CCUUUACACUACUCUAUUCUACACGAGGAUUCAUUCAAAGUUCAAACCCUUACUGCUCGGCUGCUCCACCGUUUUCUCUCUCCUUCCUCCCGUUUUCUCCUUCGAUCUCCUUCGAUCUUCUUCCUCUACGAUCUUCUUCGAUCUUCUUCCUCAAAAAUUACGCCCUUCGUUCUCAACUCCAUCGCAAUUUCAAUCAUAAUGAAUUGCAAAUCUGGAAUUAGUCCGCUCCAGGGUUCUUUAAAUUUGGGUGAAAUUCCUGGGUGUGAUCGAUCUUCUUCAAUUAUCGGGAUUUUAGUUAAUUUUUAGUUUGCUGAGGUUUCUGCAAUUUAUUUUUGAGAAAAUGGGAAAGCGUGGAAAUAAUCAGAAGAAAGCCCCUCAGAAUUUGAAGAAAAUGAAGCUGAAUAAUGAAGAUGUGAAAAAAUUCAGUAGUAUGGAGGAUGAAAUUGAUGUCUGGCCGUUUCGAAAAUUUAUCACUCAGAUUCAUUCACGCUUUCAAAUGGUGGUGGUCCGCGUAGCAGGGGCGGCGGUUUAAGUGUUUCUUUAGCUGGGCCAGAUGGGCGGGUCUUAGGAGGUGGUGUUGCCGGUGUUUUAAUAGCUGCGUCCCCAGUACAGACUUAUACAAGAUAAAGUUUGGCCAAAUCUAUUUGAGUAAGUCGAUGCCGACAGAAUCAGAUGGUGAAACAAAUAACCCAGAGAAUGGCAUGGAGCCUCAAAGAGCUGCAGUGGGGAAGCAGAACCACUGUCAGGUUCAAUAUACCCAGCAGGCCCACCUCCAGCAGCAGACACAGUGAGGAGAAUAACCAGCACAAAGAAGCUGAAGGAACUAAUGAAAUGCCAUGGACAGCUCAAGCAGAAAUGUUGGAGAAGUGCUUGAUCGUCUCACACUUA